rnacentral:lncRNA from 1 species
CUCAGAUUUGCUCCCAAAAGCCCAGGUUUUGUUGCCGGAACUACUCUGUCCUUCCAGACGGGGCUCCCAGCCUCUUUCAGAUCAGUGCGGUUCCCUCCCAGGGCAGCAGUUCCAGGGCAAUAGAAACAUCCUGUUUGUGGAAAGAAUUCACAAACAAGUAUAACAGGACACUCUCAAACCUGGUGCAAAGGGAUCACCUCACGGAGCACACACGGGACAGGAGAGAGACAUUCGUACUAGUUCAUGGGCACCUCGGUCUCGCAAGUGGAGCAGCAGGAAUAACGAACCAAGAUUUCCAUGUCAUCAGGCCACGCCGGACGUCUUAGUGUCAUCGGUGGUAUUCCAGCGAGACGGGGGCUCCAGCCAGCCCAGAGGGCCGGCGACCACGCUGCCCACUCUUUGUUGCCCGGCAACGGUUUCAUCGUCUCCCCACCGUGUAUUUACCCAGAUUACGUUCCAGAACUCUUCCACCAGAAGAAGAAAUCAUUACACAAGGCUUUUAUUGUGAGUUCUCUGCCUCAUGAAACGAUCCACCGCAAAGCUCAGAAUUUUCCAAGAAUUUAACUCACAUCCCAAAGCGCGGAGGAGAACAUACUGGGCGAACAUUGUCAUCCCUGCUCCUGUAGAUGGAGCUCGGCCAAUGUCACUCCAAAAUAGGACCCCUUGGUAUGAAGCGUAUUUUGAACGAAAGGCCCUUGGUGCCCAACAGUUGUUGGAAGGGGCUUUCUCUCUUUCUUCAUAAAAAAUCAGACCCACCAAAAAGAACAACCUAC